rnacentral:lncRNA from 1 species
CUGCUCAGCGUCUUGGAAACCUUUCAGUGUUAAAACGGCCAUAACUUCUUCUAGAAAAAUGAUAUUAACAAUCCGUGAAAUGCUUCAGAAAAUAGACAUCCGUAGCUUUCUAAGAAUAUAAGGCUCAUUCUCUAAUUCAUUCUGAGCUGUUCGAAACUUGCUUCCAAAGUCAGCUGACCUGCACAGGCAGUUUUGACGAAUUUGUCACUUAAUAUCCAACUUGUGCUAUUUUUCUUUUAUUUGCUUGAAAAAUCCCACAAAACACAAAAACAAAGUAAAUAGCUCAAAAAUAUAAGGAACUAACUAAGAAAAGACAAGUGAAUUUGAUGUAAAAUAUAUAUAAAUAUGAGCUUAUCAAUUAAUGUUUUGAUGAUUAACUCGCUCCUUAUCAGGGAUACCCAUAUCGAAGGAAGGCGACCCUCUGUGUUGGGGGCACCCAGAUGAUGGUUGAUGUUCACAGGGGUAACGAGCUCGCGUGUUUGAGUAUGCCUAGUUUCGUGGAGCGUCUCGAAAAGCCUCUCAUACUGCUCCUAGAGGACCUUAUUCUUCAUUGCUAUCUUGUUGUUCUGAGCUUCUAGCUCAUCGACUUUAGCUUGAAGAGCAACCUUCUUUCCUUUCUUCUUUAUUUGCCUUGUACCAAGUGCAAAAGGGGUGUCAUUCUGCGUGCUGUGGCUUCCUUCGCUCCCCAUGUUGGAGAUGGAUGCUUGGUCAAAAGAGAGUGUAUGAAUGGUGGAAACCAGCUUAACAAAGCUGAAGAGAGUGGGAAUAAGUGUCGUUCCCACAGACGGCACCAAAUGUUGAUGCACAAAAUCAGUGAGGACUUUGGCACAACAGAAAGUGUUAAGUUUGUGACCUUUGCUAGAUUGCCCCGGACUAGUCACUAGAUGUGGAAAU